UACGAAGGGGGCUAGCGUUGCUCGGAAUCACUGGGCGUAAAGCGCACGUAGGCGGAUCUUAAGUCGGUGGUGAAAUCCUGGAGCUCAACUCCAGAACUGCCUUCGAUACUGAGAGUCGUUGAGUCCGGGAGAGGGUGAGUGGAACUGCGAGUGUAGAGGUGAAAUUCGUAGAUAUUCGCCAAGAACAGCCAGUGGCGAAGGCGGCCUC
rnacentral:rRNA from 1 species